rnacentral:rRNA from 1 species
GAUGAACGCUGGCGGCGUGCCUAAUACAUGCAAGUCGAGCGAACAGACGAGGAGCUUGCUCCUUUGACGUUAGCGGCGGACGGGUGAGUAACACGUAGGUAACCAACUUAUAAGACGGGGAUAAUUUCGGGAAACCGGAGCAAAUACCGGAGAAUAUUUCGAACGGCAGGGUUCGAUGGUGAAAGAUGGCUUGCCCAUCACUUAUAGAUGGACCUGCGCCGUAUUAGCUAGUUGGCAAGGUAACGGCUAACCAAGGCAACGAUCCGUAGCCGACCUGAGAGGGUGAUCGGCCACACUGGAACUGAGACACGGUCCAGACUCCUACGGGAGGCAGCAGUAGGGAAUCUUCCGCAAUGGGCGAAAGCCUGACGGAGCAACGCCGCGUGAGUGAUGAAGGUCUUCGGAUCGUAAAACUCUGUUAUUAGGGAAGAACAACCGUGUAAGUAACUGUGCACGUCUUGACGGUACCUAAUCAGAAAGCCACGGCUAACUACGUG